UUUCCGUAGGUGAACCUGCGGAAGGAUCAUUAUUGUAUAACCGAGGUGCGAGGGCUGUCGCUGACCCGAAAGGUCGUGCACGCCCGUGUGCCCUCACACACAUCCAUCUCACCCCUAUGUGCACCACCGCGUGGGUCCCCCUUUGGCUUGUUCGGAGGGGGGGUUACGUUUUCACACAAACUUUGUAUGCAGUGUAGAAUGUAUUUUUUGUUUUUGCGAUCACGCAAUCAAUACAACUUUCAGCAACGGAUCUCUUGGCUCUC
rnacentral:misc_RNA from 1 species